GGCUCCAUAGCUCAACUGGAUAGAGCAUCAGACUUCGGAUCUGAGGGUUGAGGGUUCGAAUCCUUCUGGGGUCA
rnacentral:tRNA from 1 species